CCCUUAGAGUUUGAUCCUGGCUCAGGACGAACGCUGGCGGCGCGCCUAACACAUGCAAGUCGAACGAGAGAUGAGGAGCUUGCUCUUCAGAUCGAGUGGCGAACGGGUGAGUAACGCGUGAGGAACCUGCCUCAAAGAGGGGGACAACAGUUGGAAACGACUGCUAAUACCGCAUAAGCCCACAGCUCGGCAUCGAGCAGAGGGAAAAGGAGUGAUCCGCUUUGAGAUGGCCUCGCGUCCGAUUAGCUAGUUGGUGAGGUAACGGCCCACCAAGGCGACGAUCGGUAGCCGGACUGAGAGGUUGAACGGCCACAUUGGGACUGAGACACGGCCCAGACUCCUACGGGAGGCAGCAGUGGGGAAUAUUGCACAAUGGGGGGAACCCUGAUGCAGCGACGCCGCGUGGAGGAAGAAGGUCUUCGGAUUGUAAACUCCUGUUGUUGAGGAAGAUAAUG
rnacentral:rRNA from 1 species